rnacentral:tRNA from 1 species
GCCUUUGUAGCUCAGUUGGCAGAGCGCAGUCUUGGUAAGACUGAGGUCUCGGGUUCGAUUCCCGACAAAGGCUCCA